AUUGAACGCUGGCGGCAUGCCUUACACAUGCAAGUCGAACGGCAGCACGGGAGCAAUCCUGGUGGCGAGUGGCGAACGGGUGAGUAAAGUAUCGGAACGUGCCCAGUCGUGGGGGAUAACGUAGCGAAAGUUACGCUAAUACCGCAUACGAUCUAUGGAUGUAAGCGGGGGAUCGCAAGACCUCGCGCGAUUGGAGCGGCCGAUAUCAGAUUAGGUAGGUGGUGGGGUAAAGGCUCACCAAGCCGACGAUCUGUAGCUGGUCUGAGAGGACGACCGGCCACACUGGGACUGAGACACGGCCCAGACUCCUACGGGAGGCAGCAGUGGGGAAUUUUGGACAAUGGGCGGAAGCCUGAUCCAGCCAUGCCGCGUGCAGGAUGAAGGCCUUCGGGUUGUAAACUGCUUCUGUACGGAACGAAAAGGUUUGGCCUAAUAAGCUGAGCUCAUGACGGUACCGUAAGAAUAAGCACCGGCUAACUACGUGCCAGCCGCCGCGGUAA
rnacentral:rRNA from 1 species